AUCUAAUAAAAUUAAAUAAUUCAGUUACCAUAGGGAUAACAGCGUAAUAAUUUUUUAAAGAUCUUAUUUAAAAUAUAGAUUACGACCUCGAUGUUGAAUUAAUAACCUAAUUAAGGCAAAACUUAAAAAAGGAAGUCUGUUCGACUUUUAAAAAAUUACAUGAUUUGAGUUCAGACCGGUGUAAGCCAGGUCGGUUUCUAUCUUCUAAAAAAUUUUUUACAGUACGAAAGGACCUAAAA
rnacentral:rRNA from 1 species